ensembl:lncRNA
GAGAGAGAGAGAGAGAGACAGAGAGAGAGAGUGCGCUGUACACACACGAGUGUUCGUUCCAGAUCAUCAGAUUCAGAACCGUGAGAAAAACACCAAAGUCCCAGUGUGUUUACUGUCUUCCUGAGUUUAAGACUCGUGAUUUAAAAGAUGAAAUCCCCAAACUGCUCGAGAGAAAGGACACUGGGAGGAGCUGGCGCCGGACUGCAGGGUUCGAGUGCUGCGUUACAGGAUCAUUAGUGCGUCUCGAGUCAUGACAGAUGCAUGUUCCCAGCUUCAUCCGUCAUCACGUGUCACAGAGAGUGGGGCUGAAGAUGUGGGACCGUGAGGGUAAAGAGGUUCCAGGAAACAGAGGAGACCAGUAUUUGGUGCAGCAGGAGUCCGAGAGCUGUUCGAGAAAGAGCCUGCACCAGCGCCCAGAAGAACACGAAGAAGGAGAUUGAUGCUGACUAUUACGAUUCGGUCACGGCGUUGUCAUGGUGUGUUUGGAGAGCAUCAAAGACCUGAAGUACGAGACCUACCACUUCACUGAGUUCCUCAUCAGAGAACAAGCUGCUCAUUCUCUGUCUCUUUCUCCUUAUGCAAUUUUGAACAACUGAAUAAAUAAAUGUGUGAAUAAAAAUCAUAAAUGUCCAGCACAACUCAACCAAGCACUGAAACCAUGCUAGAAAACAAAACUAUGCAAAAUGUGUCUGUUUAAUUCAAUGAAAUGGACAUGGAAGGACAUGUUUUGUUAGAAACGAAUGAAAUCUGUUGUUAAAUCUUCUCAGUGUAAUUAGGGUCAACCUGAUGACUUGAUAUUUAUGGUGCCAGGAGGACCACCAAAGCAGCGGCAAUCAUGGUGACCGGAGCAGGGACGUCCACCAGCGUCCCUCGGGAGGAGGACCUGGACAGCGG